GAUGAACGCUAGCGGCAGGCCUAACACAUGCAAGUCGAGGGGCAGCACAGAAACAGCAAUGUUUUGGUGGCGACCGGCGGACGGGUGCGUAACGCGUAUGCAACCUACCUUACACAGGGGGAUAACGGAUGGAAACGUCCACUAACACCCCAUAACAUCGGAAUCGGCAUCGGAUUCGGUUGAAAUCUCCGGAGGUGUAGGAUGGGCAUGCGUUGUAUUAGAUAGUUGGUGAGGUAACGGCUCACCAAGUCAACGAUACAUAGGGGGACUGAGAGGUUAGCCCCCCACACUGGAACUUAGACACGGUCCAGACUCCUACGGGAGGCAGCAGUGAGGAAGCUUGCGCAAUGGGCGAAAGCCUGACGCAGCGACGCCGCGUGGAGGAUGAAGGUCUUCGGAUUGUAAACUCCUGUUAAGUGGGAAGAAAUAGCCAUCCUUAAUACGGGUGGCGAAUGACGGUACCAUUAGAGAAAGCACCGGCUAAUCUCGUGCCAGCCGCCGCGGUAA
rnacentral:rRNA from 1 species